rnacentral:RNase_P_RNA from 1 species
GCAGAAAGGAGGUCUGUCGCUUCAUGCCGGGCGCAUGAAGAGGAAAGUCCGGGCAACACAGAGCACCAUACUUGGCAACGUCAAGCCGGCGGCGACGUCGGGGAAAAUGUGACAGAAAACUACCGCCUGAAGGUCUACUAACCGACAGGUAAGGGUGAAAAGGUGGGGUAAGAGCCCACCGGAUGACAUGGUGACAUGGCAUGCCGCACAUCCUAUGGGUUGCAAGGCCAAAUACACCGGCAACUAAGGGCUGCUCGUCCAUUGCCGGGGGGUAGGCUGCUCGAUGCUUCGUCAUCGGAGCCGUCUGGCGACAGACGGUCAAGAUAAAUGACAGACGGGAUAAUUUUCUUUUAUAGGAUUUAUCCUACAUAACCCGGCUUAUAUCUUUUCUGCAUUC